GUAACUAUGUAGUUAUCUGUCUCCUCAUUGCAGCUCUGGCUAUCUGUCUGGUUGUUAUAGCCUGCCUUAUAUACUUAACCAUAAAACUUAAUAAAAGGUUAAAUAGUUUUGGCAAAGAUUCAGCUACAGUUUGCCUACAAGCAAAUGAAUCGAUCAAUGCUGAUCAAGAAAACCAGAAGUCACAUGAGGAUUUGUUACUUUAUUCAGCAGUUUCCACAAGAAGAAAAGCCAGUAGAAAAAGGACAGCGGGGACAGCAUCAGUAGAGCAAGAUGUCAUUUACACAGAGGUCAACAUUCUUGGGCUUUGAAAAGGCU